UCAGUAAAUAGUUUAUUAUAAAAUAUAGGUUUUGGGGAUUUAUGUAAUGUUCAUCAUUUUACUGAU
rnacentral:tRNA from 1 species